GGGCACCACUUGCCUGCAGGAUCUCUCAACAUCAUUUCCUCCCAGCUUGUCCUUGGGUUCCAACAGCUGUUGGUUACACCACCUCUUUCUGUAGCCACAACCUUCACAGACAUCAUUGUUUCCCAGACUGUACCUGCUUUUAGCAAAGGUCUCUCAACGUGUUCUGUUCAGGUGUCUGUCCCAUUUAGGUAGGUAUGCUUAGUCCCAGGUUCUGAUCCUCAUGGUUUGUCCCAUCUGACCAGUAACCAGGUCAUGCAAGCCACAUCCAAGACAGAGGCGUACAGAGAAAUGUUUCCAGUCUUGGCUCUUCUACUAAUUAGCUGAGUGGCCCCAGGCAAGUCAAGUGACCUCCCUGAGCCUCCUCUCUUAACCUCAGAAUGCCACAUACUGUGUUCUGGAUGACAAGGACAAGUCCCCGACCCAACUGUGGUUGAACAAAACUCUAUCCUGGACGCAUUUCAGAGCAAGGAGAGGCGAUUCCUCAUGAGUGCAUCUAAAUGACCUAUUCUGGGCAUUCCCAAAAUAAAGUCUUUUGAAUUGA